UACGUAGGUGGCAAGCGUUAUCCGGAAUUAUUGGGCGUAAAGCGCGCGCAGGUGGUUUCUUAAGUCUGAUGUGAAAGCCCACGGCUCAACCGUGGAGGGUCAUUGGAAACUGGGAGACUUGAGUGCAGAAGAGGGAAGCGGAAUUUCCGGUGUAGCGGUGAAAUGCGUAGAUAUCGGAAGGAACACCAGUGGCGAAAAGCGGCUUCCGUGGUCCAGCACCGACGUUCAGGCACGAAAGCGUGGGGAGCAAACAGGG
rnacentral:rRNA from 1 species